rnacentral:lncRNA from 1 species
GUCAAUGUGCAGUCUAAACAUGUGACAGAUGCAGAGAAAACUUCAAAGAUGCCAUUACAAAUGCCUGUGGAGAUAUUUAAGGAGCCAGAUGCUACUGUUUCAUGUCUUCCGCAGCUCUGAAUGUGUCCUGUGAUCACCUUCCAAAGAGGAGGUGUGGUUCGAUAUGCUGAGAGAUUGCAGAACUGUAACAGCAACAAAAGGGAUAAGAGAAAUGAAAAGCACACCUUUAAAUCUUCAAAACUUUUUCAUUUAUUCGUUCACCAAAAAUUUAUUGAGUCUUUAUCUCCACUUUGGCAGGUACUGUGAUUCUAUAUGGUCAUAUAGUCUUAUUUUUAAUACUGACAUAAUCUGACUUACAUUUGUGUUUUUAACUUACAGGGAGAUCCCCUUAGUAUUUGAAGAAUACAGGUAUGUUUCACCUGGGAUGGCUGGCUUAUGGUGAGUCUUCCCAAGUUUGAUCAGGAUUAAUGAGCUGAGACUUUUCAUGGAGACUUUUACCUUAGGGUCAAAGAGACUGGGGAAGCUCAAGGGCUCUAUCCCCUGUGCCAACAGCAAGAACAGGAGCAAGUUUUGCUGAAAUUGAUUAUGAAUGUCUCUAGCUACUGGCAAAGCUGAAGUACGGCCUGUCUAUAUCCAUGUGAGGAUAAAGUAGGAAUUAAAAUGAAAGCAAGACAUGGCAAAGGUAAAGUGAAAGAUUUUGCUAUUAGGCUAGUGUUUGAUCAUAAAGAUUCAAACAUAUCUAUCACUCUACAUCUGUGAGAGUGUAUUAAAAGGUUAAUGAAGUUUUGUACCUUUUUGGACUUAUAACUAAAUUGUCAGGUCAGCAAAUAUGAAGAAUUUUUGUACUGUGGACUAUCCUAGGAAAUUCUCUUGGGGGAAAAUGAGAU